AAAAAACAUUCACAAAGGUAAUUAAAUAUCUCUCGACUUUCUUUGUCUUCGUAAAUUUAACAUGGCUAGGCAAAAAGAUGGCCUACAUCCACGAAAAAAACUUUGAUUCUUGAAGAUGGCCUACAUCCCUUCUUUUUUCCUUUCUUCCCAACUAUUUCAACGAUUUCAUCAGUUUGCAUAACUUUUGCUUUGAUUUUCGCACAAGUCUGGUUAAUGUUCUGCUCAAAGGAAAAGAUGACCUCAAAGAAAUAUGUGAGGUGGAAGUUCAUUCUAUAGAAAACUAUGAAGAGCGAAGACCUCGACAGGGAGAGAUCGGACCUGCUUCGACGUAAAGGGGCGAAAUGGAUUCAAGGAGAAAUUUCAGAACGGAAAAGCCAUGAGAGGAGGGAUCCUUUGAGAUAAUCGAAGCCGAGUCCAACUUCUCUCUUUAUUAAAUAAAAAUAUUUUGGUCCAUUAAUUUGAUCGUAAAACUUGUUGAAUUAUGUCGGAAAAUCGUAAAAUAAAAAAAAAAAAAGACAAAAUUAGAAGAUUUGGUAUGAAUUUUAAAUUUAAAGUUAUUGUU